GACGAACGCUGGCGGCGUGCCUAAUACAUGCAAGUCGAACGCAGUGGGGACGGGUGAGUAGCACGUGGGUAACCUCCCAUCAGAGGGGAUAACACUUGGAAACAAGUGCUAACCCGAUACGGGUUGAUGGAGCCGCGGUGCAUUAGCUUGUUGGUGAGGUAACGGCUCACCAAGGCCACGCUGCAUAGCCGGCCUGAGUGGGUGACCGGCAACACGGGGACUGAGACACGGCCCAGACUCCUACGGGAGGCAGCAGUAGGGAAUCUUCGGCAAUGGACGAAAGUCUGACCGAGCAACGCCGCGUGUGUGAAGAAGGUUUUCGGAUCGUAAAGCUCUGUUGUUAGAGAAGCGGUAUCUAACCAGAAAGCCACGGCUAACUACGUGCCAGCAGCCGCGGUAAUUC
rnacentral:rRNA from 1 species